UACGUAGGGUGCGAGCGUUAAUCGGAAUUACUGGGCGUAAAGCGUGCGCAGGCGGUUAUUUAAGUCAGGUGUGAAAGCCCUGGGCUUAACCUAGGAAUUGCGCUUGAGACUGGAUAGCUUGGAGUGCGGCAGAGGGAGGUGGAAUUCCACGUGUAGCAGUGAAAUGCGUAGAGAUGUGGAGGAACACCGAUGGCGAAGGCAGCCCCCUGGGCCAACACUGACGCUCAGGCACGAAAGCGUGGGGAGCAAACAGG
rnacentral:rRNA from 1 species